rnacentral:tRNA from 1 species
GCCGUCGUAGCUCAGCUGGUAGAGCGACGCUCUCGUAAAGCGUAGGUCGUGGGUUCAAAUCCCACCGACGGCU